CACCUACGGGAGGCAGCAGUGGGGAAUUUUGGACAAUGGGCGCAAGCCUGAUCCAGCCAUGCCGCGUGCAGGAUGAAGGCCUUCGGGUUGUAAACUGCUUUUGUACGGAACGAAACGGCCUCUUCUAAUACAGGGGGCUAAUGACGGUACCGUAAGAAUAAGCACCGGCUAACUACGUGCCAGCAGCCGCGGUAAUACGUAGGGUGCAAGCGUUAAUCGGAAUUACUGGGCGUAAAGCGUGCGCAGGCGGUGAUGUAAGACAGAGGUGAAAUCCCCGGGCUCAACCUGGGAACUGCCUUUGUGACUGCAUCGCUGGAGUGCGGCAGAGGGGGAUGGAAUUCCGCGUGUAGCAGUGAAAUGCGUAGAUAUGCGGAGGAACACCGAUGGCGAAGGCAAUCCCCUGGGCCUGCACUGACGCUCAUGCACGAAAGCGUGGGGAGCAAACAGGAUUAGAUACCCUGGUAGUCCACGCCCUAAACGAUGUCAACUGGUUGUUGGGUCUUCACUGACUCAGUAACGAAGCUAACGCGUGAAGU
rnacentral:rRNA from 1 species